AACGCACAUUGCGCCCCUUGGUAUUCCGAGGGGCAUGCCUGUUCGAGCGUCAUUAUAACCACUCAAGCCUCGGCUUGGUAUUGGGGUUCGCGGUCUCGCGACCCUUAAAACCAGUGGCGGUGCCAUCUGGCUCUAAGCGUAGUAAUUCUCUCGCUACAGGGUCUAGGUGGUUACUUGCCAAAACCCCCCUAUUUUCUAUGGUUGACCUCGGAUCAGGUAGGGAUACCCGCUGAACUUAA
rnacentral:misc_RNA from 1 species